rnacentral:rRNA from 1 species
AUAAGCGCUGGAAACGGCGUCUAAUACUGGAUACGAGUAGCGGCCGCAUGGUCAGUUACUGGAAAGAUUUAUUGGUUGGGGAUGGGCUCGCGGCCUAUCAGCUUGUUGGUGAGGUAAUGGCUCACCAAGGCGUCGACGGGUAGCCGGCCUGAGAGGGUGACCGGCCACACUGGGACUGAGACACGGCCCAGACUCCUACGGGAGGCAGCAGUGGGGAAUAUUGCACAAUGGGCGGAAGCCUGAUGCAGCAACGCCGCGUGAGGGAUGACGGCCUUCGGGUUGUAAACCUCUUUUAGCAGGGAAGAAGCGAAAGUGACGGUACCUGCAGAAAAAGCACCGGCUAACUACGUGCCAGCAGCCGCGGUAAUACGUAGGGUGCAAGCGUUAUCCGGAAUUAUUGGGCGUAAAGAGCUCGUAGGCGGUUUGUCGCGUCUGCUGUGAAAUCCGGAGGCUCAACCUCCGGCCUGCAGUGGGUACGGGCAGACUAGAGUGCGGUAGGG